UACAGAGGGUGCGAGCGUUAAUCGGAAUUACUGGGCGUAAAGAGCGUGUAGGCGGCCAGGUAGGUCAGCUGUGAAAACUCGAGGCUCAACCUCGAGACGCCGGUUGAAACCAUCUGGCUAGAGUCCGGAAGAGGAGAGUGGAAUUCCUGGUGUAGCGGUGAAAUGCGCAGACUAUCAGGAAGAACACCCGUGGCGGAAGGCGGCGUCUCUGGGACGGUACUGGACGCUGAGACGCGAAAGCGUGGGGAGCGAACAGG
rnacentral:rRNA from 1 species